CCUACGGGAGGCUGCAGUGGGGGAUAUUGCACAAUGGGGGGAACCCUGAUGCAGCGACGCCGCGUGGGUGAAGGAGCGUUUCGGCGCGUAAAGCCCUAUCGGCAGGGAAGAAGAUGACGGUACCUGACCAAGAAGCCCCGGCUAACUACGUGCCAGCAGCCGCGGUAAUACGUAAGGGGCAAGCGUUAUCCGGAUUUACUGGGUGUAAAGGGGGCGCAGACGGCAAUGCAAGCCAGGAGUGAAAGCCCGGGGCCCAACCCGAGGACUGCUCUUGAAACUGCAUGGCUGGAGUGCAGGAGGGGUAGGCGGAAUGCGUGGUGUAGCGGUGAAAUGCGGAGAGAUUACGAGGAACGCCGAUGGCGAAGGCAGCAUGCUGAACUGUGACUGACAUUGAGGCACGAAAGUGGGGGGAUCAAACAGGAUUAGAUACCCGAGUAGGC
rnacentral:rRNA from 1 species